GUCCCUGAAGCGUAAUGGAUAGCGCGUUGGAUUUUUAAUCCAAAGGCCGUGGGUUCGAAUCACACCUAGGAUA